GUGAGGAAUAUUGGUCAAUGGGCGGGAGCCUGAACCAGCCAAGUCGCGUGAAGGAAGAAGGAUCUAUGGUUCGUAAACUUCUUUUGCAGGGGAAUAAAGUGCAGGACGUGUCCUGUUUUGUAUGUACCCUGAGAAUAAGGAUCGGCUAACUCCGUGCCAGCAGCCGCGGUAAUACGGAGGAUCCGAGCGUUAUCCGGAUUUAUUGGGUUUAAAGGGUGCGUAGGUGGUUUGAUAAGUCAGCGGUGAAAGUUUGCAGCUUAACUGUAAAAAUGCCGUUGAAACUGUCGGACUUGAGUGUAAAUGAGGUAGGCGGAAUGCGUGGUGUAGCGGUGAAAUGCAUAGAUAUCACGCAGAACUCCGAUUGCGAAGGCAGCUUACUAAGCUACAACUGACACUGAAGCACGAAAGCGUGGGGAGCAAAUAGGAUUAGAUACCCCAGUAGUCC
rnacentral:rRNA from 1 species